rnacentral:rRNA from 1 species
UACGUAGGGUGCAAGCGUUAAUCGGAAUUACUGGGCGUAAAGCGUGCGCAGGCGGUUAUGUAAGACAGAUGUGAAAUGCCCGGGCUUAACCUGGGAACUGCAUUUGUGACUGCAUGGCUAGAGUUUGGCAGAGGGGGGUAGAAUUCCACGUGUAGCAGUGAAAUGCGUAGAUAUGUGGAGGAAUACCGGUGGCGAAGGCGGCAUCCUGGACCGAGAUUGACACUGAUGAGCGAAAGCCAGGGGAGCAAACGGG